rnacentral:rRNA from 1 species
AAUCAACGCUGGCGGCGUGCAUAACACAUGCAAGUCGAACGAGAAAGCGGGGGGCAACUCCGCAAGUAAAGUGGCAGACGGGUGAGUAACACGUGAACAAUCUACCUUCGAGAGGGGAAUAACUCCGCGAAAGCGGUGCUAAUACCCCAUGACAUCCCAGGGCUGCAUGGCCUGGGGAUCAAAGGCUUCGGCUGCUCGGAGAGGAGUUCGCGCCUGAUUAGCUAGUUGGUGAGGUAACGGCUCACCAAGGCAACGAUCAGUAGCCGGCCUGAGAGGGUGAACGGCCACACUGGAACUGCGACACGGUCCAGACUCCUACGGGAGGCUG